rnacentral:rRNA from 1 species
UACGUAGGGUCCAAGCGUUAUCCGGAAUCACUGGGCGUAAAGCGUGCGUAGGCGGAUAAGUUAGUGUAAUGUGAAAUCUCCAGGCUCAACUUGGAGGGGUCAUUCGAUACUGCCAUGACUAGAGUUCGGUAGGGGAGUGUGGAAUUCCUGGUGGAGCGGUGAAAUGCGCAGAUAUCAGGAGGAACACCCGUAGCGAAGGCGGCACUCUGGGCCGGAACUGACGCUGAGGAGCGAAAGCGUGGGGAGCGAACAGG